AGCCUCCAUCUCCUCUCGCCCAGCCUCCAUCUCCUCUCGCCCAGCCUCCAUCUCCUCUCGCCCAGCCUCCAUCUCCUCUAUCCCAGCCUCCAUCUCCUCUCGCCCAGCCUCCACCUCGUCUCGCCCAGCCUCCAUCGUAACACGUCAGAGGGAAGGGAGGACGAGAGCAUUUCAGUAGAUCUAACUUCCUAGGAACUUCUUCCCCAAUGCUCUCCUCCUCACAGCCCUCUGAAAACGUUGAGAGGUCGCAGGACAAUGAGGAAGGACUUCAUGCGCCCCCCAGGGGGGUACAACGGAGACCGUGAGGGACUAAAGCAGCACUAACAGAACCUAACAGUUUGCUUGUGGUGUGUUUUCAGCACAUUGACCAGCGGUGUGAGUGAUGGCUGGAACAGAAAUGGUUUCCUAUGUAGCCAAAAGUGGUGCACUAAUCAGAGAACAGGAUACCAUUUUACCCAGCCUCUCCUCCAGUGAGGGGGGGGGGAAUAGUAUCUAAAGGGUGUCUAAUCCAAUGAGGGGCCGAAACCUAAAAUGUCUGACUUGAAUAUCUGUCGUGUUGGGACUUGCCCGGAGAAAUGAAGUUUUAGAAAGAAUGCUUGUCCUGUUGCAUGAAAUGGGUUUUCCACUUAAUCAAGUUGUCAGGGACCCCCGGCCGUUCCAUGUGUUGCAGAGCUGGCACACCCCAGUCAACUCUGGGGGACCCUGAGGAGAGGUUUAAACCCCCUGCUGUAGGGAGUCCCUGAGGAGAGGUUUAAACCCCCUGCUAUAAGGAGUCCCUGAGGAGAGGUUUAAACCCCCUGCUGUAAGGAGUCCCUGAGGAGAGGUUUAAACCCCCUGCUGUAAGGAGUCCCUGAGGAGAGGUUUAAACCCCUGCUGUAGGGAGUCCCUGAGGAGAGGUU